rnacentral:rRNA from 1 species
GAGUUUGAUCCUGGCUCAGGACGAACGCUGGCGGCGCGCCUAACACAUGCAAGUCGAACGAGCAAAGAGGAGCUUGCUUCUCUGAGCGAGUGGCGAACGGGUGAGUAACGCGUGAGGAACCUGCCUCAAAGAGGGGGACAACAGUUGGAAACGACUGCUAAUACCGCAUAAGCCCACGGGUCGGCAUCGACCAGAGGGAAAAGGAGUGAUCCGCUUUGAGAUGGCCUCGCGUCCGAUUAGCUAGUUGGUGAGGUAACGGCCCACCAAGGCGACGAUCGGUAGCCGGACUGAGAGGUUGAACGGCCACAUUGGGACUGAGACACGGCCCAGACUCCUACGGGAGGCAGCAGUGGGGAAUAUUGCACAAUGGGGGAAACCCUGAUGCAGCGACGCCGCGUGGAGGAAGAAGGUCUUCGGAUUGUAAACUCCUGUUGUUGAGGAAGAUAAUGACGGUACUCAACAAGGAAGUGACGGCUAACUACGUGCCAGCAGCCGCGGUAAAACGUAGGUCACAAGCGUUGUCCGGAAUUACUGGGUGUAAAGGGAGCGCAGGCGGGAAGACAAGUUGGAAGUGAAAUCCAUGGGCUCAACCCAUGAACUGCUUUCAAAACUGUUUUCUUGAGUAGUGCAGAGGUAGGCGGAAUUCCCGGUGUAGCGGUGGAAUGCGUAGAUAUCGGGAGGAACACCAGUGGCGAAAGCGGCCUACUGGGCACCAACUGACGCUGAGGCUCGAAAGUGUGGGUAGCAAACAGGAUUAGAUACCCUGGUAGUCCACACCGUAAACGAUGAUUACUAGGUGUUGGAGGAUUGACCCCUUCAGUGCCGCAGCUAACACAAUAAGUAAUCCACCUGGGGAGUACGACCGCAAGGUUGAAACUCAAAGGAAUUGACGGGGGCCCGCACAAGCAGUGGAGUAUGUGGUUUAAUUCGACGCAACGCGAAGAACCUUACCAAGUCUUGACAUCCUGCGACGGACAUAGAAAUAUGUCUUUCCUUCGGGACGCAGAGACAGGUGGUGCAUGGUUGUCGUCAGCUCGUGUCGUGAGAUGUUGGGUUAAGUCCCGCAACGAGCGCAACCCUUAUGGUCAGUUACUACGCAAGAGGACUCUGGCCAGACUGCCGUUGACAAAACGGAGGAAGGUGGGGAUGACGUCAAAUCAUCAUGCCCUUUAUGACUUGGGCUACACACGUACUACAAUGGCGUUAAACAAAGAGAAGCAAGACCGCGAGGUGGAGCAAAACUCAGAAACAACGUCCCAGUUCGGACUGCAGGCUGCAACUCGCCUGCACGAAGUCGGAAUUGCUAGUAAUCGUGGAUCAGCAUGCCACGGUGAAUACGUUCCCGGGCCUUGACACACCGCCCGUC